ACCUGACUGCUAUCGGAUUGAUACUAAGCCAUGCGAGUCAUUGUAGCAAUACAAGGCAUACGGCUCAGUAACGCGUAGUCAACCUAACCUAUGGACGGGAAUAACCUCGGGAAACUGAGAAUAAUGCCCGAUAGAACAUUAUACCCGGAAUGGUUUAUGUUCCAAAUGAUUUAUCGCCAUAGGAUGGGACUGCGGCCUAUCAGUUUGUUGGUGAGGUAAUGGCCCACCAAGACUAUUACAGGUACGGGCUCUGAGAGGAGUAACCCGGAGAUGGGUACUGAGACAAGGACCCAGGCCCUAUGGGGCGCAGCAGGCGAGAAAACUUUGCAAUGUGCGAAAGCACGACAAGGUUAAUCCGAGUGAUUUCUGCUAAAGAAAUCUUUUGCAAGUCAUAAAACCACUAGUGAAUAAGGGGUGGGCAAGUUCUGGUGUCAGCCGCCGCGGUAAAACCAGCACCUCAAGUUGUCAGGAGGAUNAUUGGGCCUAAAGCAUCCGUAGCCGGCUCUGUUAGUUUUCGGUUAAAUCCAUAUGCUCAACAUAUGGGCUGUCGGAAAUACUGCAGAGCUAGGGAAUGGGAGAGGUAGACGGUACUCGGUAGGAAGGGGUAAAAUCCUUUGAUCUAUUGAUGACCACCUGUGGCGAARGCGGUCUACCAGAACAUGUUCGACGGUGAGGGAUGAAAGCUGGGGGAGCAAACCGGAUUAGAUACCCGGGUAGUCCCAGCUGUAAACGAUGCAGACUAGAUGAUGCAUUAGCAUAUAGCUAGUGCGGUGUCUCAGGGAAACCGUUAAGUCUGCCGCCUGGGAAGUACGUACGCAAGUAUGAAACUUAAAGGAAUUGGCGGGGGAGCACCACAAGGGGUGAAGCCUGCGGUUCAAUUGGAUUCAACGCCGGA
rnacentral:rRNA from 1 species